GUGCUCGCUUUGGCAGCACAUAUACUAAAAUUGGAACGAUAUAGAGAUUAACCAUGACCCCUGUGCAAGGUUGACACACAAAUUCGUGAAGCAUUCCAUAUUUUU